GUUGAAUCGGCUGCGUAUCCCAGGAACCCCUGCCGCUCGCCCACUGGGUACGCAGGGAUGCGUGAACAGCCUAUAGGGAAGGGGCGCGGUCCCUGUCCACCCACCUGCCGCUCCUCCGCCUGCAUCCCGUACUCCUCGCGCAUCCGAAGCAGCUCAUCCUCCAGCCUCGCACGCAGCUGCUCCAACUCCAGCGCCUGGUUCCGCAGCGCGUCCGCCUCCUGCGCGCACAGCCGCGCCUCGUCCUCCGCCUGGAGCCGGCUCUCUUGACCGCGGCGCAGCGCCUGCUCCAGCUCGCGCACCUCGUCCUCGUACAGCUGCAUGCUCUCCCUCCACGACUCGGCCACUAGCAGGGCGUAGCUGUCGUGCACGUCCCGCAGGCGCGGCGGGGGCGCGGCGGGGCCGGUGGCGCGGGCUCGGAAGUGCAUGGUGAGGCUGCUGGCACGGGCGCGUAGCUCUCGCACUUGGCGCUCGUGGGCCGCAUCCAGGUCUCGUCGCUCUGCCUCCAGCCGGCCCAGCAGCGCCUCGAGGGCGGCGCGCGCGCCCAGCGCCUCCUCCAGCUCCCGCCGCUGCGCUUCUAGCUCGGCAUCCAGGCGGCCG
rnacentral:lncRNA from 1 species